GACGAACGCUGGCGGCGUGCUUAACACAUGCAAGUCGAACGGAAAGGCCCGGCGUUUGUUGGGUGCUCGAGUGGCGAACGGGUGAGUAACACGUGAGUAACCUGCCCUUGACUUUGUGAUAACUUCAGGAAACUGGGGCUAAUACCGGAUAGGAGCUCCUGCUGCAUGGGGGUGGUUGGAAAGUGUCGGCGGUUGGGGAUGGACUCGCGGCUUAUCAGCUUGUUGGUGGGGUAGUGGCUUACCAAGGCUUUGACGGGUAGCCGGCCUGAGAGGGUGACCGGCCACCUUGGGACUGAGAUACGGACCAGACUCCUACGGGAGGCAGCAGUGGGGAAUAUUGCACAAUGGGCGGAAGCCUGAUGCAGCAACGCCGCGUGCGGGAUGACGGCCUUCGGGUUGUAAACCGCUUUCGCCUGUGACGAAGCGUGAGUGACGGUAAUGGGUAAAGAAGCAACGGCUAACUACGUG
rnacentral:rRNA from 1 species